rnacentral:siRNA from 1 species
UUCACCCUUGAGUCUCGGAGCAA